rnacentral:rRNA from 1 species
CCUACGGGUGGCUGCAGUAAGGAAUAUUGGGCAAUGGAGGCAACUCUGACCCAGCCAUGCCGCGUGAAGGAUGACGGCCCUAUGGGUUGUAAACUUCUUUUAUACGGGAAUAAACCCGGGUACGUGUACCCGGCUGAAUGUACCGUAAGAAUAAGGAUCGGCUAACUCCGUGCCAGCAGCCGCGGUAAUACGGAGGAUCCAAGCGUCAUUCGGUUUAAAGGGGGCUAAGGGGUGCGUAGGCGGCAGCGUUGAAAUCCUACAGCUUAACUGUAGAACUGCCGUUGAUACUGCAAGUCUUGAGUACAUUUGAUGUGGGCGGAAUGUGUCAUGUAGCGGUGAAAUGCUUAGAUAUGACACGGAACACCAAUUGCGAAGGCAGCUCACAAAACUGUAACUGACGCUGAGGCACGACAGCGUGGGGAUCAAACAGGAUUAGAUACCCUGGUAGUC